AAAUUAAAUUGGAAAAUUUUAUCCGGUUACGUUAAUCCAAAAACGGUCGAAAAACCGAUUUUUUCAUAAACGAUAAUACCAAAUAAAUUAAACGGUUAAUAUUAUAUUUUCCGGCCGGUAUAUUUUUUUAAUAAAUAAUUGGAAAUAAAAUAUAAUAUUUCCAUUACCAAAAAUUUAUAACGCACCGUUUAUUUCGUUUUAUUUUUUAUAUUAACCGGGAUAUAAUUAUUAUAAUAUUAAUAAUUAAUAAAAUUAAAAAUAUAACUAAUUUCGGCGUAUUGGUUUAAAAUAAAAUUUUUAUUUUUUUCGUCCGUUUUAAAAAUAUAAAUUAGGAAAAUAUAUUUUCGGCCGUUUAUACUUGGAAUUUCCGUUUUAUUUUUAUUAUUUUAAAUAUUAAUGAUAAUAUUAAAACCUCGUUCCAAAAAUUUAAAUUUAUAAAUUAAAAAUAAUAAUUGGUAUAUUUUCGUAUUUUAAAAUUAAUUAUUCCAAUAAUUACCCCAAACGCGAAAUUAUUUUUUAUUUUCCAAAAUACGGGUAUAUUUAUUAUAUACCGCGAAAUAAAUUCGGAUUUAACGUUACCAAAUCGCACGGUUAUUUAUUUCCGCGAGAAAAUCCCUUUUUAUAAUAUUAUUAUUAAAAAAUUCCAAUUCGGUUAUUAUUUUGGAAAUAUAAUAAAAAAUAUAAAAAUAAUUUUAAAAAAUAUUUUAAUUUUUUUCGGGGGGGGAAAUGAAAAUAAUAUCGGUUUUGUCCCGUUUGGGGAUAAUUCGGAUAAAAAUAAAACGGAUUUAAAACGUAAAAUAUUAAUAUUAUUAAAUAUAAAAUUUAUAUAAUUUUUGCAAUUUUUAACAAUAAAUUAUUUUUUUUGGUCCAUAAUAUACGCCGAAAACGAUAUUCGGAAUACCAAUUUAACCGAAUUGGGAAAAUUGCUAAUUUUAAAAAAUAUUAAUUUUAAAACCAAAUAUCGCCAAAUCCGCCAAAAUAUUAAAAAAAACUUUUCGGAAAAUAAAACCCGUUUUAAAUUGGUAAUUGUAAACGCGUUUAUUUAAUAUAACGGCGACGGAUUUUUUAAUUGGAUAUAUUUUAAAAUAUAUAUAAAUUUAAAAAUAUUAUUUUUAUUUGGUAAAACCGAAAUAAUUUAUUUUAUAUUAAAUAAAUUACCGUUUAUUGCCAAAAUUAUGGAAAUUUGCAUGGAAAAAAAAAACAAAAUUAGCGGGUUUUAAUUAUAAUUCCGAAUUUAUAAAUCCAAACGUAAAUUUUCCCAUUAUAAUUAUUAUUACAAUUUCCUUUUUACAAUUAUAAUAAUUAUUAUAAUUAUUUAUUUAUAUUUUUAUAAUAAUUAUUAUAAUUGCUAAUAAAUUAGUUAAUUUUUAUAAUUUAAUCGCGGCCAUUUUAGAAAAAAACCAAUUUCGGCGUUAUUAUUAUCCGGGCUGGUUUAUUUCAAACCGAACGUAAUAAAAUAAUAACCGAUUUUACCAAUUCGAACUUUUUUUUCGACGUUUGCGUUUUAAAUAUUAAUAUUUCCAAUACCGGUUUUAAUUUGCAUUAUAAUUAUAAUAUUAAUAUUAUUAUCCCGUUAAUAUAAAACGCUAAUAUAUAAUUGCAAAUUUAUAAUCGUUUAAUUUAUUCGGAACAAUUAAAACCCGUUAUUUGGAGGAUUUUUAAAAUGCGAAAUACCCUGUUUAAUUAAAUCAAAAACCGGAUAUUUCGAAAAAUAAAUAUUGCAAAUCCGAAUUUUUAUAAUUUUUGUUAACGUAUUUUAAAUAUUAUUGGAAUAUACUACGCGGAUACGUUUGCCCGAAAUUAUCGUUUUUCCCGUUAUAAAACAAUUUUUAAUAUAUAAAAUAAUAACGGUUAUAUUUUUUCAACUUUUUAAUUAUUUCGCGUGGAUAACCGAAUUGCCGUAAAAAAUAAAUAAUUUUUGUUCGGAUAAAAUUCGUCGAAUGGGAAAAUUUUAUUCCCGUUUCGCUUUAAUAUUUAUAUCGGAUAUUCCAACGUUUUUUAAUAAAAAUAACGUGGUUAAUAAAACGUUGGUUCUCGUUUUAUUAUUAAAUUUUGCGUAUAUUAAUUAUUAAUAUUAAAAACAAAAUGGUGGUCGAAAUAUAAUUACCAAUUAUAUUAAUUAUACGCAUUUGCCGUUUUUCGAUUUUAAUAUUAUAAAUUAAAAUUUUGUGGUUAAAUUAAUAAAAUAAAUUUGUUGUAAACGUUGCUUUUUAUUUAAUUUAUUUAAACGAAUAUAUUUAUUUGGUUGGGCUUAUAUAAUCGAACAAAUUUCGGUACAAUACCAAUUUAAUUCUAGGAAAAUACAAUAAAAAAAUAUUAUGCGCGUUGCAAAAUCGUAUUUAAAUAAAAAAACGCGUCAAAUUAAAUAAAUAAAUGUUAGGUAUUUAACAAAACGCGGAAUUAAAAUCGUUGCUAAUAAUUUAAUUGUAUUUAACCCAAUUUAAAUUUAAUAUAAUUAAUUGUUUUAUUUAAAAUUGGAAUGUACGUUUUUGUAACUAAUUGCGGUAAUUUAAUA
rnacentral:sRNA from 1 species